GUCCCAGCCAGGUGAACCUACCUCUAGAUCUAUGUAGUGUCUAGUGUCCCAGCCAGGUGAACCUACCUCUAGAUCUAUGUAGUGUCUAGUGUCCCAGCCAGUUGAACCUACCUCUAGAUCUAUGUAGUGUCUAGUGUCCCAGCCAGUUGAACCUACCUCUAGAUCUAUGUAGUGUCUAGUGUCCCAGCCAGGUGAACCUACCUCUAGAUCUAUGUAGUGUCUAGUGUCCCAGCCAGUUGAACCUACCUCUAGAUCUAUGUAGUGUCUAGUGUCCCAGCCAGUUGAACCUACCUCUAGCUCUAUGUAGUGUCUAGUGUCCCAGCCAGGUGAACCUACCUCUAGAUCUAUGUAGUGUCUA